GGUGGGUGUCAGUCUAACCAUG
rnacentral:miRNA from 10 species